rnacentral:rRNA from 1 species
UACGUAGGGGGCAAGCGUUGUCCGGAAUCAUUGGGCUUAAAGAGCGUGUAGGCGGCCAGAUAAGUCCGCUGUGAAAUCUCGAGGCUCAACUUCGAGCUGUCGGUGGAAACUGUCUGGCUAGAGUCCGGAAGAGGAGAAUGGAAUUCCUGGUGUAGCGGUGAAAUGCGCAGAUAUCAGGAAGAACACCCGUGGCGAAGGCGGUUCUCUGGGACGGUACUGACGCUGAGACGCGAAAGCGUGGGGAGCGAACAGG